GACAGAGGGUGCAAACGUUGUUCGGAAUUACUGGGCGUAAAGCGCGUGUAGGCGGCCCUGCAAGUCGGAUGUGAAAUUCCAGGGCUCAACCUUGGGACUGCAUUGGAUACUGCCUUGCUAGAGAACUGGAGAGGAGACUGGAAUUUACGGUGUAGCAGUGAAAUGCGUAGAGAUCGUAAGGAAGACCAGUGGCGAAGGCGAGUCUCUGGACAGAUUCUGACGCUGAGGCACGAAGGCCAGGGGAGCAAACGGG
rnacentral:rRNA from 1 species